rnacentral:rRNA from 1 species
UACAUAGGCAGCAAGCGUUGUUCGGAGUUACUGGGCGUAAAGGGUGUGUAGGCGGUUCUUUAAGUUUGGUGUGAAAUCUCCCGGCUCAACUGGGAGGGUGCGCCGAAUACUGAGGGACUAGAGUACGGGAGAGGAAAGUGGAAUUCCUGGUGUAGCGGUGAAAUGCGUAGAUAUCAGGAGGAACACCGGUGGUGUAGACGGCUUUCUGGACCGUAACUGACGCUGAAACACGAAAGCGUGGGUAGCAAACAGG